AACGAACGCUGGCGGCAUGCCUAACACAUGCAAGUCGAACGAGACCUUCGGGUCUAGUGGCGCACGGGUGCGUAACGCGUGGGAACCUGCCCUUAGGUUCGGAAUAACUCCCCGAAAGGGGUGCUAAUACCGGAUAAUGUCUUCGGACCAAAGAUUUAUCGCCUUUGGAUGGGCCCGCGUUGGAUUAGCUAGUUGGUAGGGUAAAAGCCUACCAAGGCGACGAUCCAUAGCUGGUCUGAGAGGAUGAUCAGCCACACUGGGACUGAGACACGGCCCAGACUCCUACGGGAGGCAGCAGUGGGGAAUACUGGACAAUGGGCGAAAGCCUGAUCCAGCAAUGCCGCGUGAGUGAUGAAGGCCUUAGGGUUGUAAAGCUCUUUUACCCGGGAUGAUAAUGACAGUACCGGAGAAUAAGCUCCGGCUAACUCCGUG
rnacentral:rRNA from 1 species